CCAAAGCCUCCUGGCUUUGGAUUUUUGUUUAAUUUUGUUUUAAAUGUGAGUGUUGACGAGAAAAAAAAUUUUUUUUAAAUAAGGUUGUAGGAUAAUUUGCAAUAAGUAGUUUUUUUUUUUUAAUAAUUUAAGAAAAAGUAAAUUUUAAAAGUUUGAACAAAAUCUGUGCCAGCAGUUGCGGUUACACAGAUUAUGCAAUAAAAGUUUUUUGGAAGCGGUUAAAAUUUUUCUUGAGUGAUAAAAUAAUUUUAUUAGGUGAAAUUUUAAAAUUUUGUAAGUUUAAGGAUUUGAGGCCGGCAAGUUUUAUUUUUAGACUAGGAUUAGAUACCCUAUUAUGAAAGAGUAUAUUUAUAUUCUAUAUUAGUAUUAGUUAUGUUCUUGAAAAUAAAAGGAAUUGGCGGUAUUUUAGUCUAUUCAGAGGAACCUGCCCUGUAAUUGAUGUUCCACGUUUAUGAGUACUUGGAGGUUUAAUUUAUAUAUCGCCGUGGUUGAGUAUCUUUUUAAGAGUCAAAAUGCUCGUGAUUUAUAUAUAAAGGAUAGCAGGUCAAGAUGUAGUUUAUAUUCAAGUAGAGGUGGGUUACAGUUAAUUUAUUAUUGGAUUUUGUAUUUGAACUUAUAAUGAAAUUGGAUUUGAUAGUAAUCUUAUAAAUAUUUUUAAGAUGAUUAAGGCUCUAAAAUAUGCACAUAUCGCCCGUCGCUUUCAUUAUAAAAUGGAAUAAGUCGUAACAAAGUAGGUGUACUGGAAGGUGCCCCUAGAAAGCA
rnacentral:ncRNA from 1 species